rnacentral:rRNA from 1 species
GACGAACGCUGGCGGCGUGCCUAAUACAUGCAAGUCGAACGCUUCUUUCCUCCCGAGUGCUUGCACUCAAUUGGAAAGAGGAGUGGCGGACGGGUGAGUAACACGUGGGUAACCUACCCAUCAGAGGGGGAUAACACUUGGAAACAGGUGCUAAUACCGCAUAACAGUUUAUGCCGCAUGGCAUAAGAUUGAAAGGCGCUUUCGGGUGUCGUUGAUGGAUGGACCCGCGGUGCAUUAGCUAGUUGGUGAGGUAACGGCUCACCAAGGCCACGAUGCAUAGCCGACCUGAGAGGGUGAUCGGCCACACUGGGACUGAGACACGGCCCAGACUCCUACGGGAGGCAGCAGUAGGGAAUCUUCGGCAAUGGACGAAAGUCUGACCGAGCAACGCCGCGUGAGUGAAGAAGGUUUUCGGAUCGUAAAACUCUGUUGUUAGAGAAGAACAAGGACGUUAGUAACUGAACGUCCCCUGACGGUAUCUAACCAGAAAGCCACGGCUAACUACGUG